UCAAUACAAUUCUAGCAUGGAUAAUAAACGAUUAUCAUGAAUAAGGAAAUAUAAUAAUAACCUAUUUAUUAUUGCCUCUAGCGCAUAUUUCCAACAGCAGCAUACAUACAUAUUACAAUUUUGCAUUUUAAAUUUGAAGACUAAGGCAACGCCCGAUCGAUGUAAUUGGUGGUGAAUAUCUGUUUUCUUGUUUGUAUUUAAUCUUAGAAAACAGAAUCUCAUCAAGAGAAAAUCCGUAGGCAUUGCAGUCCAAUUAUUCUAGGGAUUGGAACCAUACAUGUGACUGAAUACUGCUUGGAACAUGUGAUUUUGCAAAGUUUACGUACAUGCACCUUCGUGGGUGAUACAACUUCUCUAUGUUUGUACCUCCUUGUCAUUCAAAUUUUACAAACUUUAUGAAUAAAAAGUAGAAAGUAAUGUUCUCACUUUUCUUUUUAUGACCUUCAUUAUCUCAGUCUCAACAACAUCCAGGAGAUGUACCUAUGUAGCUACUGUAAGUUCAAAAGCUUUAUUUCACAAGUUGGCAAUACGAUAUUCAGGUACUUAAGCAGGUGUUAUAGUUCUAAUUUACUUUUGUCUCAUAACACUUGGUCUCAUAAACACUAGAGACUGCAGCCCAGUGUUGCUCAUAGCACACUUAUACUUAUUCUGAUUUCUGAUGGCCUCCUAAAUUUGAAUUAUUGUCUUGAUGGCAGGUGGAGGACCUUUGCAAUAUUAUCUAGAUUUACGCCAAACUGGCACUCUUACUUGAUCCCGUAUUUACUCGUUCAAACAAUUUGUGCACAAAGUUGAGGAAGCUGGGGCCAGUAAUCAUGUUAGAAUAAACUUCUUUCUUCCUUUUAACAGUUUGUUUCCAUAAUGUGGGACAGCAGGAUCUGAGUCCCACUAUGAGGGACCGACCUUUAGAGAUCAGCUACCGGCGUCAUACUGCCCCUGCAAGGCACCACAUGGAAGCCUCCUCUUUGAUUUUAGCAACAAUCACUCCCACUGACACCGCGGUGUUGCGAAAAAUAGGAGGAUUCCUCUCCUUCAAAAUUUCCCACGAGAUAAUCAUCAUUAGAGCCUGAUAGUUCUUCUCUCCUCAAGUCUCAGAUCCAUUUUCAUCACCCUUUGCCUUUUAAGGUCUGUUCUUCUUCCGGGAUUGCAGAGAGCAUGGAUCGCCAUAUGGAAGGAGAUGCCAUCCUUACUGUCGUUGUCUUUGGCAUGUUGCUGCCAUCUUUCUAAUCCUUGCACUGUAGAUACCUCAGUCUAUCCAUGGUUCAUAACUGUUACCUUGCUACACCUGCACAUGUGGAAAACUUAAACUUGGCAGUCUAAAAUUAAGCAGCAAACUUAAUUGCCGGUCAUCGAAAAAUUCAGUGACAACAGCUGGCACACGAGCUUCAUUUUUUAGUAGAGAUAGUAGAUGAUGCAGAUGACAGUUCUACCUCUUUGACUGAAACAAGAACUUUCUCACCAAGGGCAUACCUACAAGACAGGGGCAUACCAGCAAGAUAGCAGGAGGUCCUCAGGCACCCAUCACACAUUCACCAAAGAUAUGGAGCUACCAUUUUAGAUUAGUACUAGCAUAUUGGUACAUAGUGUGUGUGUUUUAGCAUAUUAGUAGUAGCAUACGUGCAGGAGGUCCUAAGUUUGUUCAGUUUUAUACAAAUUUGUGUUGGUAUGUAGUGUUGAGAGGAUCCUAAAAUAUUGUACUACAUAAUCUCUUUCCAGGUUCUUGAAAACUUGCACUCUUCUAUUGAAUUUCAC